GUUUGGUCCUUGUGUAGCUGCUCUUCCUUUCGUCCAUGCAUUUAGUGGAUGUGGCACUUUGUCGAAUUGUCAUGAGAAAGGCAAAAGGUCAGCUUGGCUAACAAUGGAAGGUUUUCCAGAUGUAAAGGAUGUUUUUUUUAGGCUUAAGUAUGAAGCGAGGCACGAUGUGAAUUGUUUGCCAGGAAGCAGCGGCAUUGUGAUGCAAUUCCGCCUACAAGAGGUUCUUUUCCAGAGCACAUCAAAAGAGAAGUAUAUCAAGGAGG
rnacentral:lncRNA from 1 species